AAACUAACAAGGAUUCCCUGAGUAACGGCGAGCGAAAAGGGAAUAGCCCAGCGCCGAAUCUCUUGUCCUCCGGGCAAGAAGACAUGUGGCGUUUGGGACGAGGCUUUGCCUGUGCAGAAUGGUCAUCCAAGUCCCUCUUGAACGGGGCCAUAGCCCAUGGAGGGUGCUAGGCCCGUAUGAUGACUUUAUUGUGCAGUGCGUCUCGUCCGUAGAGUCGGGUUGCUUGGGAGUGCAGCCCAAAUCAGGUGGUAAACUCCAUCUAAGGCUAAAUAUGACCACGAGACCGAUAGCGAACAAGUACCGUGAGGGAAAGUUGAAAAGAACUUUGAAGAGAGAGUUAAAAAGUACGUGAAACCUCUCGGGGGUAAGCGGGCAGAACUUGCAAGUAUUGGCUGGGAACAUUCAGGCUUAGUGUUGGUGGCUUGUGAUGCACGUUUUGUUGCUCUUUCGGGAGUUGACUGCCGUGUGUUGCUUGUUCUACUGACGAUGCGCCGCAUUUGUUCCUGUCAUCGGGUUGCAUGCGACUUGAUGGUAGUUUAGGUGCUGGGUGUCUGCAAAUCCUUGUGGUUUGAGCCCUGGUCUCCAACUGCUGUCGUGGUCGUUGAAAUUACGAGUAGGCGCUUGUCGCGGUCAAAAGAUUUCGCGAGUUGGGUGCUUAUGAUAUGUGGACGGGUAACCGUAGCAUGUUGUCUGUACCUGCUGUCAGUGAGAUUUUGUAUUUGGCACUGCUCUGAUUGCAAUCUAAAGCAUGCG
rnacentral:rRNA from 1 species